GUACAUUAUAGAUGUUCAGAUUUGACUGCCACUACCGCUACCCGGACAGUGAAAAGUACAGUAGUUGUUGUAGGGGUAGUGGAAGUCAAAUCUGAACCUCUAUAAUGUUA
rnacentral:miRNA from 1 species